rnacentral:rRNA from 1 species
GUGGGGAAUCUUGCGCAAUGGGGGAAACCCUGAUCUAGCCAUGCCGCGUGAGCGAUGAAGGCCUUAGGGUUGUAAAGCUCUUUCAGCUGGGAAGAUAAUGACGGUACCAGCAGAAGAAGCCCCGGCUAACUCCGUGCCAGCAGCCGCGGUAAUACGGAGGGGGCUAGCGUUGUUCGGAAUUACUGGGCGUAAAGCGCACGUAGGCGGAUCAGAAAGUCAGAGGUGAAAUCCCAGGGCUCAACCUUGGAACUGCCUUUGAAACUCCUGGUCUUGAGGUCGAGAGAGGUGAGUGGAAUUCCGAGUGUAGAGGUGAAAUUCGUAGAUAUUCGGAGGAACACCAGUGGCGAAGGCGGCUCACUGGCUCGAUACUGACGCUGAGGUGCGAAAGCGUGGGGAGCAAACAGGAUUAGAAACCCUUGUAGUCC